AUAUAUAUAGAUUUGAUAGAUAGAUAGAAAUAGAUAGAAUAGAUAUACAUAGUUUACUUUUAAGAAAUGUUGAAUAUCCCUUGAUCUUGUCUUUCUUGAUAUUUAGCAUGAGGACAUGCUAUUGUUUAAGUGUAGGCAGGUUGAUAAACCCAUAUUUUAUGAUUAUUUUUGGGUUGAAAUGAGUGGAUUUUAUCAACU